AAAUACCUGUGGAAAAUCUAGAGCUAAUACAUGCGUAAUCCCCGACUUCGGGAGGGGUGUGUUUAUUAGAUAAAAAGCCAAUGCCCUCCGGGGCUUCUUGGUGAUUCAUGAUAACCUUUCUGAUCGCUUCGGCCCCGCGCCGGCGACGGUUCAUUCAAAUUUCUGCCCUAUCAACUUUCGAUGGUAGAGUAGUGGUCUACCAUGGUGUCAACGGGUAACGGGGAAUUAGGGUUCGAUUCCGGAGAGGGAGCCUGAGAAACGGCUACCACAUCCAAGGAAGGCAACAGGCGCGCAAAUUACACAAUGUCGACUCGACGAUGUAGUGACAAUAAAUACUGAUACAGGGCUCUUUUGGGUCUUGUAAUUGGAAUGAGUACAAUU
rnacentral:rRNA from 1 species